rnacentral:misc_RNA from 1 species
UUUCCGUAGGUGAACCUGCGGAAGGAUCAUUCAUAAUAAGUGUUUUAUGGCACUUCUUUUGAUCCAUAUCCACCUUGUGUGCAAUGUCAGGGUUGAUUUUUCUCUUGAGAGGAUCAGCCCCAAUCAUCAACAAUAUCUCAACUCUUUGUCUGAAAAAUAUUAUGAAUAAAACAAUUCAAAAUACAACUUUCAACAACGGAUCUCUUGGCUCUC